GAUGAACGCUGGCGGCGUGCUUAACACAUGCAAGUCGAACGGAAAGGCCCAAGCUUGCUUGGGUACUCGAGUGGCGAACGGGUGAGUAACACGUGGGUGAUCUGCCCUGCACUUCGGGAUAAGCCUGGGAAACUGGGUCUAAUACCGGAUAGGACCACAUUUUGGAUGGUGUGGUGGAAAGUUUUUCGGUGUGGGAUGAGCUCGCGGCCUAUCAGCUUGUUGGUGGGGUAAUGGCCUACCAAGGCGUCGACGGGUAGCCGGCCUGAGAGGGUGUACGGCCACAUUGGGACUGAGAUACGGCCCAGACUCCUACGGGAGGCAGCAGUGGGGAAUAUUGCACAAGGGGCGCAAGCCUGAUGCAGCGACGCCGCGGGGGGGAGGACGGCCUUCGGGUUGUAAACUCCUUUCGCUAGGGACGAAGCGUUAUGUGACGGUACCUGGAGAAGAAGCACCGGCUAACUACGUG
rnacentral:rRNA from 1 species